UGGCAUUCCUUCCAGGAGCACCACACUAGUUGGGGCUCCAGGUCUCCCACACUCGGCUCUCGCCCUGCAGAGCGCAGCUCCCCUGGGUGAUUUUCUUGCUGGCUGAGUGGCAGUCAGCACUCUGGGAGGCUGCUGGGUCAGUGUCCUAACUGAGCACUCCAGGAGCAGGGCUAUGCUGCUCCCAGGUCAGCUGCCUGUCCCCAGGAGUUUUGAUGUGUCGUGCUACCUGUGUGGGAAACUGCCUCCUCCUUCGCUGUUCCACUUGUGCCUGACAGCAGUGCAUUUGCAGAAAGGAAAACAGCACUGUCUCCUGAUGCACUCACAGAAGCGUAUCUACUCCCACCCCUGCUGAGGGUCCUCGGGAGUCGAGUCUGGACCGCCGGGGUCAUCUGCCCCAGAGUGAGGAGAACCUGACACCAGUGUCAGGAGGAGGAGGACUGGAACCUGCUCUGAAAUGGCUGGGAGUGGCAGGAUGGACCCCACUCAGACGGAAGGGACCGACCUUCAUAAUCAAUGCCUUGACAACCAAAGCCCGGAAACUCACACAGGGCGGGUGUGAGGCUCAGCCGGAGAGUGUGUGCUUGGCAUGCAUGAGUUCAAGCCCCAGCUGCAAACAGAAGGAAAAGAAAAUACCCAGAAACUUCAUCAGGAGCGCGUAUCUCCUGGUGGAACCAGCCACAGAAGCCAUCCUGCUUUGUAUCAGCCUUGUAAGGAUGCUGAGGAGAUGCUGCCCAUGGAGGAUUUAGAUCUUGUCCCCUUCUGUCCUCUCCUGGCAGCCACCGGACAUAGAGCUCUCUGAUGGGGUGGUGCCUGCCACAGUGGCCAGGGGGAGGAGCAGGUGGCCACAGCACGACCCACUCCCUGCACGUGUGUGCAGUGGCCUCGGGCCACUCCGUCUGCUCUGCUGGGUCCCUGUGUCCAUGUCGCCCAGGCCCUUGCCUGCUGCCCCGUGCCAUGUGGACUCGGGUCUCGAGCUCUGUCUUCCUGAGGCUGGGCUCGGUGUGCAGCAGCCCACCUGGCUCGUGUCCUCUUCAGACAGGAAGAGUCCCUGGGUCACAAAGCACUUACCUCAGUGCAGGGGGCACCGGGCGCACCUCCCUACACCUCUGACCGCAGCGCUGCCUCUCCCGAGACCCCCACGCACAGCUGGCCUGGCCCCUGCCCUCCACCCUGAAAUCCGCUUCCGAGGUAAAAAUGACUCACUUCAAGCCCUUCGGUACUUCACGAGCACACAGGUCUGCGUGGUGUCCAUGAUACAACACAAGCCCGAACAGUUUUCUUUAUGUCUCGUCUGCGUAUUCCGCUGGCUUCAUCCACCGUACUUCACCUUUGGCUUCCCUAUUAGGAACUUGAAUUUCUGCUGUCCUGCUUAUGUGUUGUUAGGGGCUGUCUUUCACUCAUCAUCACCCCAAAGUCAGGGUCAGGCUGCCUGGUUCUAUGGGCACACUUAGAAGCCAGUGCUGAGUCAUCCAAAGACAGAACUGAAACUGAAAACGCUAACUCUGCUCUGAGCUGGCAUUCUCACAGCGGUCUGUUGGCUUUCGCUGUGUGGUUGCCUAAGAUGAGGACUCGUCCUGAGGUUUGGAUAAAACAGGGGCUGCAAAACUGUCAGCAACUUGGGGAGUUAGUGCUUUCCUGCAGAUAGUGGUUCAGCAUCAGAACAUGUUCACCUUUCGGCCGCUGAAAAUCCUCAUUUGUGAAGUCCAAGUUUCUGUUCUCUUUUCCUCUAGAACAGCAGUCAGCAAACUGCAGCCUGUGUUUAGACUGAAAAGCCUAAAAUAUUUACCAUGCUCCUCACAGUGGAGUUUGCCAGCCCCUGCUCUGGAACUCAAAGUGCCGGGUCAUUCUGUAUAAGUUAAAGAUUCUCACCGUGAUGCUGAAACGGGGCCUCAGCAGGUCGGAGCCUCCAACCCCAGGUGCAGCAUUUGGUUUGGGAUGCGAAUGUGCAGCUUUGGAAGACAACCCCACGCCCUCCAAGGGGGUCUGUGACUUCAAAACCCGAGAGUCCCUUCCCGCCGUGUUUCCCAUGCGGGCUGAGUGCAUAACUCACAGCAGCACCCUCAGCCGUGGGAGGCUGAUCUUGUCCGGCCUUGAAGGUCGUGCUGGAAUGCACUUCACCCUGCAGGGUGGGAGCGCUACACAAAGCACGAGGACUGUGGUCCUUCCCUGGGCAUCGCUCUCCUCCUUGGCUCUCAGGCCUGACUCCCCUGACCUGGUUUCCUCUGCCGCACAACCUCGCCUGGGUGCACUGAAUAGGGACCCUGCUUCAUGCCUCGAGCCUGCAUCCACAGCUUCCGGGAUCGCAGCCGGGGACCCCCACACACCUUGGCUUGACCUGAGGGGCUACUGCAGCCGGGGCCUCGGAUCCCUCCCUCCAAGCAUCUGUCUCUCUCCGCCCACUCGAGUCCCUUUUUAGCCCUGCUUUGUCAAUCAUGAUUUAUAUUUGAUCUUAUCAUCGAUGCAAUGUGGUCACCACAAAUGAGACAGUCACAGGCUGCGCAUGUGGAGAGAGUAAACAGCACCCAGAGAGAUCCUGGCUUUCAUCUCAGGGGGCCUGUGAGAACCCAGCAGAAAGAACCGGACAUCUGAACCCUGGACCACAGGUGUCAGGUGCAGCCCCUCCCCGCACUGCUGUGAAACCCAUAAGCAGAGCAUCAUCUGCCUUCCAUACAAUCUUGAAUCAAUAUAAUGCCCCAACUGGGACAUAAAAGGGAAGAAUUUAUGGUGAGUUGAUGUGCACUUCCUUGUGAAUGCCUGGUACAGCGACAGUAGAAGACAAAAUGAGGCAGGUGGACAUUCACGCCGACUUGUUCGAAAAAAAGUUUAGAUUUAAGUGAAAUAAGAUAAUAUUCAACUGACGCUUUUUAAAUUACACUUGACAUUCUGAAAGGAAGACCGCAUGAAUUUGCUUAUAUGUAAGCAGUCGCCGGUAGGGCAGCAUAGAAACAGUCAUCCUCCUGUUCCUGGUUCCCAGCGGGCCUGGCGUGGAGAAGAGAUCUUCUGACACGCACAGUCAUACUGUGUAGAGUUCCAAGGUUCAGCCUUCCCCAGAGUAACAGGCAGCUGCAUUCCUGGAAACGCAGUGACGAUCGGAGCAUGUGGCGCUUUGGACUAGGUGUUCAGCCUUCGGGGUGCUGGCAGACGUCCUACCACCCUGCGGCGCUGCCUGGUCCUGGGAGGCACAAGGCUGCUGUGCUUCCAGGCCUGGCCCCUGGGGGUACUCCCGCCCCUCCCUGUGAGGACCGAAAGGGCCUGGACGGCUGCUGCAGAUCCACAGAGAGCUCCCCAGGCCGCUGCCCCCGCCACGAGCCCCCGCACUAGCGUCCGUUAAAACGCUGGCUAUACCUGUGUCUAAUGGGAGCAGACAGUGAGUACAUACGCAGAUGGGCAAGAAUACCAAGGGGGUUUGGGCAGAAGGUGGUAAAUUGAUGGGACCCGGCUCUCUCCUGCUCCUCAGUGGGGACAGGAUGUGGGUGACAGACGCGAGGGUGAGGUCCCUGCGACCUCCCCUCUGUUCUCCUCACAGGACCCAGCACAGUCCUUAGGACACCUGUGCUAAACUUAGCACCUCGCUCUGCUGCUGCUCACGCUAGCCAACCACUCACCCCAGACAGAGGGCAACCUCCGCCGCGGGACUCCGGGCGUGCCCUGGGCUGUGGUCGCAACGAGCACACCACACAGAUGUCAGCAUGUGCGCGGUGCCUGGUACAGCCCACGACGCUGUGGACACAACACAGCAGCGUGGUCUGGGUGGCGAGGGGUCAGCGUGCCCGGACCAGCCGGGAUCCCAGAGAUGAGCUGGAGGCUGGGCACGGGAGGGGAAGCAGUGGAGCAUUUCCCACCCCUCGGGGGACCUUGGGGCUGGAAGGGGCCCAGUCCCCUCCUGCAGCAUUGUGCAUUUCCCUCGGCAAAUCUUGAAGGAAUGAACAAGCAUAGUUACUGCAACUGAACAGGCAAGUUUUAGGGCUGGGGACUUAGCUCAGUGGUUCUGCUGCCUGCCUUGCAAGUGCAAGGUCCCGAGUUUAAUCCCGGUACCAAAACAAGAAGAAAGAAUAGAUAAGUUUUGCUGGUUUUGUUUUUUGUUUUGUGGUGCUGGGGAUAUCGGAACACAGGACCUGUGCCUGCUAGGCAGACGCUCUCCCUGCUGAACUGCGCCCAGCCCCAGCCCCAGCCCGGGCCACGCUUCGUAGAUCCCUGGCGUGGUGGCCAGCAUGUGGAAAAUGCAGCAUGAAGAGCGUGACAGAAAUGUGUGAUGAGCAGCCUGGUCUACACCAGCAACGUCUGCCAACGGCCCUCUCCUGGGACAGAGGAGCAAGGGCCCAGGGAGCAGCACACCAUAGGGUCCCCAGGUCCUGGCCCCGUGCAGUGCCUCGGGCUGAGCCGCUGUUUCUCCACUCCUUCCUCCGUAGGACCAUGGCAGGUCCCCUUGACCUCCUCGUGGGCAUGGUGCUCCUGGCCAGCCCUGCGCUCGGGAUCCCGGCCUGCUCCUCCGAUGGCCAGGUGGCUCUAUUUCGUUUCCUGCAACCUCACCCAGGUCCCCCCAGGUCCUCAACACCACCAAGAGGCUCCUGCUGAGCUCCAACUACAUCGGGACGGUCACAAGCACGUCCUUCCCUUUCCUGGAGCAGCUCCAGCUGCUGGAGCUCGGGGGCCAGCUGACACCCCUGACCAUCGGGCCAGAGGCCUUCCGGAACCUGCCCACCCUCAGGAUCUUGGACCUGGGUGACAGCAAGAUGCAUGCCCUGCAUCUGGAUGCUUUCCAGGGUCUGCCCCAGCUGCUUGAACUUAGACUGUUUUCCUGUGGUCUCUCGGAUGCUGUGUUGAGAGAUGGUUAUUUCAGAAAUUUAAAUUCCUUAACCCACUUGGACCUGUCUGUAAACACGAUUAGCAGCCUUUACCUUCAUCCUUCAUUUCAAGGACUAAAUUCCUUAAAGUCUGUGGAUUUUCUUUCAACCAAAUCCCCACUCAUAUGUGAGGGUGAGCUCAGCCCACUCCAAGGGAAGACGCUGUCUCUUCUCCGCCUCAGAAUGACGAAGGUGUACAUGAGGGGCGUGGACUGGGGGAAGUGUGGGAACCCCUCCGAAGCCUGCAGCUGGAGACCCUCGACGCUUCUGAGAACGGCUGGACCGUGCCCAUCAUGGGAAACUUCAGCAACGCCAUUGAGGGGAGCAAGGUUUCCUCUUUGAUCCUUCAGUACCACAUCAUGGGGGCUGGGUUUGGCUUCCGUAACAUCAAGGAUCCCGACCGGAGCACGCUUGCAGGCCUGGCCAGAAGCUCGGUGAGGAGCCUGGAUCUCUCGAAGGGGUUCAUCUUCUCCCUGAACCCCCGGCUCUUUGAGACGCUCAAGGACUUGAAGGUCCUGAACCUUGCCCACAACAAGAUAAACAGGAUCUUAAAUGGGGCCUUUGAAGGGCUCGAUGGCCUCCAGGUCCUCAAUCUGUCAUUUAACCUCCUGGGGGAGCUGUAUAAUUCCGACUUCCGGGGGCUGCCCAGUGUAGCAUACAUUGACCUUCAGAGGAAUCACAUUGGGAUCGUUCAGGCCCAAACCUUCAGAUUCCUGGGGAACCUAGAGACCUUGGAUCUCUCGGGACAAUGCUCUUAAGACCAUGUCUUUUAUUCCGAGCAUACUUACUGUCUUUCUAGGUGGCAACAAACUGGGGACUUUGCCACAUCAAUCUCAGCGUUGACUUCAUGCAGUUAUCAGCAAACAGGCUAGAAAAUCUGGCCGAUCUCUACUUCCUCCUCCAGGUGCCUCAUCUCCACACGCUCAUCUUAAAUCAAAAUCGCCUUUCCUCCUGUCCACCAGGCCUUAGCCCUGCAGCGAGCCACAGCUUAGAAAAACUUCUCCUUGGAGAAAAUAUGCUGCAACUGGCCUGGGAAACUGGGCUCUGCUGGGAUGUUUUUAAGGGACUUUCCCGUCUCCAGGUUCUGUUUCUGAAUGAUAACUACCUUAAUUUUCUCCCACCUGGGGUAUUUAGUGAGCUGACUUCACUAAGAGGACUCAGCCUCAGCUCCAACAGGCUGACAUCUCUCCCUGCCGGCAGUUUUCAGCCAACUUGGAGUCCUUGGAUCUCUCUCUCUGAAACCAGCUCCUCUCUCCAGAUCCCAGCUUGUUUGCAUCACUGCAUUUCCUGGACAUAACCCAUAACAAGUUCAUCUGUGAGUGCGAGCUGACCACAUUUAUCAGAUGGCUCAACCAUACCAGUGUCACUCUUGAGGGGUCUCCUGAGGAUGUGUCCUGUGCAUACCCCGCCUGGCUCUCAGAUGUGCCCCUCUAUUCUCUCUCCACGGAGGGCUGUGAUGAAGAGGAAGCCUUGAAGUCUGUGCAGCUUUCUCUCUUCAUCACGUCUGCUGUCACCGUGACUCUGUUCCUCACAACUAUCCUCGUGGUCACAAAGCUCCGGGGUUUUGUUUCCUGUGCUACAAGACAGUGCAGAGCCUGGUGUUGGGCGACCGACCCCUGAGAAGAGACCCCAACACGUUCAAAUACGAUGCCUAUUUCUGCUUCAGUAGCAAAGACUUCCUCGAAUGGGUUCAGAACGCUUUGCUUAAACAGCUGGAUGCUCAGUACAGCCACCAAAACAGACUUAACCUGUGCUUCGAAGAGCGAGACUUCAUCCCCGGGAGGACCACGCCGCCAACCUCCAGGCUGCCAUCUGGAGCAGCAGGAAGGUCGUCUGCCUGGUGAGCAGGCACUUCCUCCUUGACGGCUUGGUGCCUGGAAGCCUUAGCCUACACUCAGGGCAGGUGCUGUGUCUGACCUCCAGAGCGUGCUCGUGGUGGUAGUGGUGGGGUCGCUGUCCCAGUACGAGCUGAUGAGACAUCAGGCCAUCCGAGGAUUUGUGCAGAAGCAGCAGUACUUGAGGUGGCCUCAGGAUCUCCAGGAUGUGGGCUGGUUUCUCAGUAAAACUCACUCAGCACAUACUAAAGAAAGAGAAGGGAAGGAAGGGGAGACAGCGCCAUGCAGCUGCAGAUGGUAGCCUCCACCUCCUAGCAAAAACAGCAGCGUGCGGCAUGUCCCAAGCCACAAAAGCUCUGCUCUGUAUUUGUGCCAGCUUGUCAUCUGGGGUCCUUCCGGGGGUCUCUUCCUGCUAUGAAGACAGUGACUGUGUCUUGGUUUUUCUGUCGAUACCGUGUUUUGUCUCACUGCCCUCCAAAUGGAAAAGAACAGAUCUGGAAAACUGUAGCUGCGCCUGGCAGCUCCCGCUCACUGCUGAUUUCCUCUGACCCAGCGACGCCACUGUGUCCUGCUGUAUGAUGCGCAGUGUCCCCUGCGUGGCAGGGGCACCUCGGGAAAAGUUACAGAUGGCUCCAUGCUCUCGCUGGGCUCUGUUCAGGAACUGGCUGGGCAGAGACUCCGAGUGCUCAGUGCCCCACAAACCAACAUUGAACAGUAAACCAAGGGAAGAAGGGACGUGUGUAGGAAGACGCCCUGUGACACCAGGUACACUCGGUCUCGGGGAGGAGGUGGCCCUGGAGACGCUGGGGUGGGAAGAACCCAUUCUCCGGCCACACCACACUUCCUUGUCAGUGGGAUCUUUCAGCUGGGACUUGGGGCCUUCCCGGACCCAGCACCAACCCACCUUCUCUCUUUCCCGCCUACCACGCCUCAUUUAUCAACUAUGAGCACUGCUGUGAAAAGAAAACGGGCUCUUCUCGGGGUUCAGCUCGGCCCAGCGUGUCAGGGCAGCCGGAGCUCUCCCCACGUCACCCUCUAGCUGCAAGACCCGCACACCCCGAGGGCCCCUCUGCACCCAGUCGCCAGGCUCCGGUCUGGAUUUUUUAAUCCUAAAAGGAGCCUAUGUGCAUUUUGCAUUGUAAUCCUUUUUAUGUUUAUUACCGCAGACCUUUUUUGCAAAUACAUUAAGAAAAUUUAAACCAAAGGUGUGUCAUGAUUGCCCCUCGCUCACAUCCAGGAUGCCUCUACUGUCCCUCACCGUGACACACUCUCGUGCACACACAGACACACACAGGCCUGGCUCUCGGGACACUUCCCACCCAUGACACAGCUUGCCCCACACCUAGGGAUGGAACGGCUCCUUUGCAAACCCUCUUUCUGGAAUGUUCUCUCAUACCUUCCCGUGUUCUAUGUGUUCUUCAAGAUCCAGCCCCUACAGCCGAAGGGUCCCACUCAAAGUCCUCUCGAAUUUUUUGUGAGGACUCUGGACGCUUUAUCUGUUCUCUUCACAGUGGCAUCUGCUGCUGCUACCUCCUCUGUGAGCUGGGAGCCCUCUGGCCUGUCAGGUCCACAAGGGAAAGACACGUUCUCUGAGCCCCACCCCACACACCGUGACAGAUCACGCUCCACCUUCAGGCUGUCUAGAGCUUCCCGGCUGCACAGGUGUCUAUGGCUUCUUCCCGCCCUCCCAUCUGGCCUUCUGGCAGCUUCCUCCCAUUCCCAGUGGCCCUGAGACAUCUGUCACUGAGCUGUGACAUAGGGUUUGCCCAUGUGUUGGGUAUGAUGAGACCCCCAUGGCAGUCCCUGUCUUGCUUGUUUGUACUCCAUGCUGGAUGGUCCCCAGCCCAGCGCAUGCUCAGUAAGCACUCAGGGUGCACCGAUGCC
rnacentral:lncRNA from 1 species